rnacentral:ncRNA from 2 species
GCCGCCGGGGAGCGUUGCAACAGGGCAUAUCCCCUGCCAGGCCUGGCGGCGCGGCCAUUCAUCCAUUGCAACGGCGCUCGCGAACG